AGUGAAUAGAUACCCUGGUAGUCCACGCCCUAAACUAUGUCAACUAGGUGUUGGGUGGGUAAAACCAUUUAGUACCGUAGCUAAACGCGUGAAAGUUGACCGCCUGGGGAGUACGGCCGCAAGGUUAAAACUCAAAGGAAUUGACGGGGACCCGCACAAGCGGUGGAUGAUGUGGAUUAAUUCGAUGCAACGCGAAAAACCUUACCUACCCUUGACAUGCCAGGAACUUGCCAGAGAUGGCUUGGUGCCCGAAAGGGAGCCUGGACACAGGUGCUGCAUGGCUGUCGUCAGCUCGUGUCGUGAGAUGUUGGGUUAAGUCCCGCAACGAGCGCAACCCUUGUCGUUAAUUGCCAUCAUUUGGUUGGGCACUUUAACGAGACUGCCGGUGACAAACCGGAGGAAGUGGGGAUGACGUCAAGUCCUCAUGGCCCUUAUGGGUAGGGCUUCACACGUCAUACAAUGGUCGGUACAGAGGGUUGCCAAGCCGUGAGGCGGAGCCAAUCCCAGAAAGCCGAUCGUAGUCCGGAUUGCAGGCUGCAACUCGCCU
rnacentral:rRNA from 1 species